AAAAAGACAAACCCUGGGUUUCUAUGUCUAACUUUGAUUGUCCGUCUUAUAUAAAAUUUUUUUAUAAUUCGUAUUUUUAUUGUUGUUAGAUGAUAAAACAUGAUUAAUAUUUUAUGCGUGACUUGUCUUUUUAAUUUUUUUUAUAAUUUUUUCAAAUAAGACGGAUGGUCAAACGUUGGACACGGAAACUAAGGUUUGUCUUUUUU
rfam:Oryza glumipatula chromosome 2, whole genome shotgun sequence.